rnacentral:rRNA from 1 species
UACGUAGGGUGCAAGCGUUAUCCGGAAUUAUUGGGCGUAAAGAGCUCGUAGGCGGUUUGUCACGUCUGCUGUGAAAACUGGAGGCUCAACCUCCAGCCUGCAGUGGGUACGGGCAGACUAGAGUGCGGUAGGGGAGAUUGGAAUUCCUGGUGUAGCGGUGGAAUGCGCAGAUAUCGAGAGGAACACCUGCGGCGAAGGCGGGUUGCUGGGCUGACACUGACGCUGAGGCGCGAAAGCUAGGGGAGCGAACGGG